rnacentral:piRNA from 1 species
UGCCUCCCUACAGCCUAUCCUUUACCAAG